AGAGUUUGAUCCUGGCUCAGGAUGAACGCUGGCGGCGUGUCUAAGGCAUGCAAGUCGAACGGAUCAACGGAGUCAGCAAUGAUUUUGUUGGUUAGUGGCAAACGGGUGAGUAACACAUUAGCAACCUGCCCCGGAGUUCGGGAUAACGGUCCGAAAGGACCGCUAAUACCGGACGUGAUCCAAGGAUGAUGUCCUUGGAGGAAAGCCCAAAAGGCGCUUCGGGAGGGGCUUAUGGCUUAUCAGCUAGUUGGUGAGGUAAUGGCUCACCAAGGCUAUGACGAGUAGCAGGCGUGAGAGCGCGACCUGCCUCAGUGGAACUGAGACACUGUCCACACUCCUACGGGAGGCUGCAGUCGAGAAUCUUCCCCAAUGGGCGAAAGCCUGAGGGAGCGACGCCGCGUGCGGGAUGAAGGGCUUCGGCCUGUAAACCGCUUUUAUUCGGGAAGAAGCGCAAGCUGACGGUACCGAAUGAAUAAGAGGUUGCUAACUCUGUGCCAGCAGCAGCGGUAAUACAGAGACCUCAAGCGUUAUCCGGAUUUAUUGGGCGUAAAGCGUCCGCAGGUGGUUCGUUCAGUCAUUGGUCAAAUCCUGGGGCUCAACCCCAGAACUGCCGAUGAUACUGGCGGACUUGAGACCGGUAGAGGCAAGCGGAAUUACUGGUGUAGCGGUAAAAUGCGUUUAUAUCAGUAAGAACACCAAAGGCGAAAGCAGCUUGCUGGAACGGUUCUGACACUCAUGGACGAAAGCGUGGGGAGCGAAAAGGAUUAGAUACCCUUGUAGUCCACGCCCUAAACGAUGUGUGCUGGAUAUUGAAAGUAUCGACCCUUUCAGUGUCGUCAAAAAAGCUAACGCGUUAAGCACACCGCCUGGGAAGUACGGUCGCAAGACUAAAACUCAAAGGAAUAGACGGGGACCCGCACAAGCGGUGGAACAUGUGGUUUAAUUCGACGGUAAACGAAGAACCUUACCAGGGCUUGAAAUUGUAGGAGUAUAUCCUGUGAAAGCGGGAUGGACCGUUAAAUCGGAUCCUAUGACAGGUGCUGCAUGGUUGUCGUCAGCUCGUGCCGUGAGGUGUACCCUUAAGUGGGGUAACGAGCGCAACCCCUGUGUAGUGUUGCAAUUUUCACUACAGACUGCCUCGGUCAACGAGGAGGAAGGCGGGGAUGACGUCAAAUCAGCAUGGCCCUUACGUCCUGGGCUACACACGUGUUACAAUGGUUGGUACAAUGGGCAGCCAAGUCGCAAGACGGAGCUAAUCCCACCAAAGCCAAUCUCAGUUCGGAUCGAAGUCUGCAACUCGACUUCGUGAAGCUGGAAUCGCUAGUAAACGCCGGUCAGCUAUACGGCGUUGAAUACGUUCUCGGGUCUUGUACUCACCGCCCGUCAAGCCAAGAGAGUCGGCAAUACCUGACGCGGCCCUUUGGGGUCACCAAGGUAGGGUCGAUGAUAGGGGCUAAGUCGUAACAAGGUAACC
rnacentral:rRNA from 1 species